AUUGAACGCUGGCGGUAUGCUUAACACAUGCAAGUCGAACGGUAACAGGCCUUCGGGCGCUGACGAGUGGCGGACGGGUGAGUAACGCGUAGGAAUCUGCCUCAUAGUGGGGGACAACGUGGGGAAACUCACGCUAAUACCGCAUACACCCUACGGGGUAAAGCGGGGGUUCGUAAGACCUCGCGCCAGGAGGUGAGCUUGAGUUAGAUUAGCUAGUUGGUAGGGGAAAGGCCUACCAAGGCGACGAGCUAUAGCUGGUCUGAGAGGACGAUCAGCCACACUGGGACUGAGACACGGCCCAGACUCCUACGGGAGGCAGCAGUUGGGAAUAUUGGACAAUGGGCGCAAGCCUGAUCCAGCAAUACCGCGUGUGUGAAGAAGGCCCUAGGGUUGUAAAGCACUUUCAAUAGGGAGGAAAACCUGCCGGUCAAUACCCGGUAGCUUGACAUUACCUAUAGAAGAAGCACCGGCUAGCUCCGUGCCAGCAGCCGCCGUAAGAC
rnacentral:rRNA from 1 species